rnacentral:rRNA from 1 species
UACGUAGGGGGCUAGCGUUGUCCGGAUUUAUUGGGCGUAAAGAGCGUGUAGGCGGCCAGGUAGGUCUGCUGUGAAACUCGAGGCUCAACCUCGAGACGUCGGCGGAAACCAUCUGGCUAGAGUCCGGAAGAGGAGAGUGGAAUUCCCGGUGUAGCGGUGAAAUGCGCAGAUAUCGAGGAGGAACAGCCAUAGGCGAAGGCAGCAGCUCUGGGACGUGACUGACGGCUGAAGACGCGGAAAGCGUGGGGAGCAAACACGG